rnacentral:misc_RNA from 1 species
AGAGAUUUAUUCAAUAACACUUUAAAGUCGUUACCAACAAUGCACAGGCUGGGCCAUCACGGUUUGGGGCGGUAACCGUAAGGAUUUUUACUGGCCCAAUUCCACUGGUCUCUGCACAUCUCGUUGAUGCCAUAUUUUGCUCUCCAAUUAAGCUCUUUCUGUGCUUUUUCUGUAGAUGCAUAUACAGCUGUAGCAUCACCUGGUCUCCUCGCACCGCUUGAGCUCUGCGGACAUCCCGGAAACCCUCACCGGGUCAUUCUCACUGUCUAUCCGGUGAGAGAGAGCCGCAAUCCGGUCCUCGAAAGACCUCAUCGUGUUGGCGACGAUGAGGGUUUCGUCGAGGUCGAA